rnacentral:rRNA from 1 species
UACGUAGGGUGCGAGCGUUGUCCGGAAUUAUUGGGCGUAAAGAGCUUGUAGGCGGUCUGUCGCGUCUGCUGUGAAAAUCCGGGGCUCAACCCCGGACUUGCAGUGGGUACGGGCAGACUAGAGUGUGGUAGGGGAGACUGGAAUUCCUGGUGUAGCGGUGAAAUGCGCAGAUAUCAGGAGGAACACCGAUGGCGAAGGCAGGUCGCUGGGACGGUACUGACGCUGAGGCGCGAAAGCGUGGGGAGCAAACAGG